rnacentral:lncRNA from 1 species
AGCAAUCAGAUUAUAGGAUACAUGUGGUUUUAGAAAAAGCAAAAAUGUAAUACAUACAACAGCCACUAAUAACUGUAACAAUGUUUGCUCGAUUGAUGCCAAACCUACUUUGAACUUCAAGCUAGGCACAACAGUAUUCCCUCUUUUUUCAGUUCAGAGCAACACAAAAUGAAUUGUAAGGAUGGAAACCUACUGUGAACUCGUUUUUUGAUGGCUAGCAGCAACAUAAAACAACAACCACUUAUAUAAACUGAACCAAAAAAGAAAAUGAUCCAGAACUAAACCAAAACGUCAUGUUUCCGAUUUCUGAUAUUUUGUCCACCAAUCUCCUGCAGACAGUAGAGCAGUAUUGCACUAAAAAUAAAUAAACAAACUUGAGAAUCUGAAUACUACUGUAAGGCAUAAGAUGUCCUUGGCAUAAUUAUACUAAAGAAGGGGAAAACUGAACCAAAAUGUGGUGUGCACCUCACGUCCUCAAUGGAUGCAUGCACAAGAUGCUGCUGCAGGUGAUAGAUAUUGUGAGCCACCUGGGGGUGGGGUAGAUAAGAUUGGAUGGGGGAAGCUCACCUCACGUCCAAGCGAUGGCUGCUCCACCUCCUUUCCUCUCCUCUGGCCG